GUUCCAUAACCUGUCCGCCAAGGACAGAGAGUACUGGGAGCCAGGCCAGCAGCACACAGAGCAAGAAGCCAGGCACUGUGAUUUACCCCCUGGACAACCUGGAGAUACCUAGAUGUCAUCGAUUCAGAAAGAAUGGAUGACUGUGAAGUCAGGACAGAUGGUGUGAUCAGAAAGCCUGACCCCAAAUUUCACCACAGAACAUAUUUAUAUAAAGAACAAACACAAAGCUGCACACCAGAUGGAGUCUUUUAGAAAUUUCCUGGGAGGAGGGUGAGGGUGGGGGUGGGCAGGCAUCGCAGCACAUGCGGCGUCAGAUCUGUUGGGGGGAUCACCAAAGGCGAGGUAUCCGUGAGAGCGAAAACAGAAUGCCACUUGUGCAGACGACAGCUGUGGCACCAGGAACUGAGGACCGCAACGCACCAUGGUAGUGGUGUGCAAAUCUGCUCCCAGGAAGCCUGAAGGGUGAACUCCAGGGCAGCUUAGAGGGCUUGGAAUCAUGAAUCCCUGCUCCUUCUCUCCAAUCCAAAAUCUGCACCCCACAUCUGAAAAACUACCAUGCAAGGGUGCAAAGGAAAGGGUCUGCUUCUGGAGCACCCGACCUCAGGCACCUCUUGCUCCCGGUAGACCAGUCUACACACCAUCAGGUCAGUGCUGUUUUCUCCCCACUCCAGGAGAUCCCCGCCUCUGAAAUGUUCUUCCCUUUCCUCAUUGCUGGGCCUACCGAUACUCAAGGUCCCUUCCAACACUGCACCCCAGCUUUCCCUGUUGGCUCACCUUCCCUCUGGCUUUAGCUGAGUACAACUGGGCUGUGUGCUGCCCGUGACCUGAGGCCCUGCGUGUACAGUCUGCACUCAACACCCACGCUGCCGUGUCAGGGAGGGAAGGCAUGUGCAUCCCUCUACCCUACCCGUGUACAUAGGUAAGAACAUGCUCACUUGACUUUGCAUCUUCUAUCUCUUUGUCAAGCUCCUGGAUCAUUCCAGUUGCUCAGCAAAUAUCUUUUUUCAGCGCUGGUAAGAAUCAGGGCUGAAAUUUCCCAUGUCCCUCCCAGUAAGGCCAUGGAGACAGUGAAAACAUUUCAUGUGAUCAUGCUGGUUGAUACUGUGCCCUGACCACCCAGCCCCUCCCCAGCACCCCUAGAUCCCUCCACAGGCUCACAUUUAAUGGGUGACCUUGGCACAGCAGAGAACUUGGGGACCUGCCCCAGCAUCUCAGCAAACGGCCAGUCUAAUCCUUCAGUGCACAUGCCUGGCAUGUUGUUAAAUAUUUUGUGGUAUAAGUUCUAUUUGUGUUGACAGUUUCAGAUAAGAACAAACAGAAUCAUUACCACAAAAAUCCCCAGGGCCAGCGCACAGCAACCUGUGCCUCUUGGCCCUUUCUGGGCCAAGUCAGCCCUGGUGCCCAGGCAGAUGAGAUGCAGAUGCACAGCACCCCUAUGGCAACAGUGAGGCAGCUCUGGCAAUAAGCAAAAAUGGUGGGCAGCAGCCUCCUGGGCACAGAAGCACACCAGGUCCAUGACAGUUGGGGAGGAAAGCUUUCUACCUAACACCUCCUCUCCUCCAGGGCAGUUUGGACAAGAGUGGUCUGGACUCAGAGCAAAGGAGCAUUGGAAGGAGCCCACCAUCAAUCAAAGGGCAGGCUGUUGCCCCUACUGAGCACCCUGCAGAGAGGCCAGCACAUCACAUGCAGCAUUUUUCCAGGUCAUGCCAAAGCUGAGAGCUGUUUCCAAGCAGGGCACAAAGGAUUCCUACUUAGUGCUUUAAGAAGGGAAUCGUUGCUGUUUACCUUCAAAUGCAGACAUCCUGAGUAAUUUCAGGCUGGUUUAGACAUGCAGGAUUUGAAGCAGAGCACAGCAAAACAGUUUAUAGAAUUAAUUAUGACAUGAAUCAGUGCAAUUUGUUAGACACUGUAAUAUUGCCUUUCAUGCUAAUUUUUAAAUGGCAGAGACCAUCAGGGGCUGGUGGGGACCAGUGCUCAGUGUCCCGUCGCUAGGAAGAGAGGAAUAACAUCAUAGUCUGAUGAUCAAUGCUACAGUCCUGGGCAGAUGCUUUUGGAGGCCUUAUAUUGAUUGUCCAAAUCUCACCAGGUUUGGCAGGACAGGACUGCUGGUGUCCACAGCUGUGGAAAGUUCAAGAGAUCAAGUAGGCCAGGCGCAGUGGCUCAUGCCUGUAGUCUCAGCACUUUGAGAGGCUGAGGCGGGUGGUUCACCUGAGGUCAGGAGUUCGAGGCCAGCCUGACCAACAUGGUGGAAUCCUGUCUCUACUAAAAACACAAAACUUAGCCAGGAGUGGUGGCAGGCACCUGUAAUCCUAGAGCUACUUGGGAGGCUGAGGCAGGAGAAUUGCUUGAACCCAGGAGGCAGAGGUUGCAGUGAGCCAAGAUCGUGCCACUGCACUCCUGCCUGAGCAACAAGAACAAAACUGCGUCUCAAAAAAGAAAAAGAGAUAAAAUAUCCUUGGUUGAAUAAGGAAUACAACUCACACACACACACACACACACACACACACACACUUUAUGAGAGGCACAUGCUCUGAUAUUGUGUAAAAAUUGCAUGAAUAAAUUGAUGUGAAUAUGGCUUCA
rnacentral:lncRNA from 13 species